AUUGAACGCUGGCGGCAUGCCUUACACAUGCAAGUCGAACGGUAACAGGUCUUCGGAUGCUGACGAGUGGCGAACGGGUGAGUAAUACAUCGGAACGUGCCUAGUAGUGGGGGAUAACUACUCGAAAGAGUGGCUAAUACCGCAUGAGAUCUACGGAUGAAAGCAGGGGAUCGCAAGACCUUGUGCUACUAGAGCGGCCGAUGGCAGAUUAGGUAGUUGGUGGGAUAAAAGCUUACCAAGCCGACGAUCUGUAGCUGGUCUGAGAGGACGAUCAGCCACACUGGGACUGAGACACGGCCCAGACUCCUACGGGAGGCAGAAGUGGGGAAUUUUUGACAAUGGGCGCAAGCCUGAUCCAGCAAUGCCGCGUGCAGGAUGAAGGCCUUCGGGUUGUAAACUGCUUUUGUACGGAACGAAAAGCCCUGGGUUAAUACCCUGGGGUCAUGACGGUACCGUAAGAAUAAGCACCGGCUAACUACGUGCCAGCCGCCGCAGUAACAC
rnacentral:rRNA from 1 species